rfam:Schistosoma margrebowiei strain Zambia genome assembly, scaffold: SMRZ_contig0000823
AUCCAGCUGACGAGUCCCAACUACAACAAAACGCACGUCCUGGAU